rnacentral:rRNA from 1 species
CGUCAGAACGAACGCUGGUGGCGUGUCUUAUACAUGCAAGUCGAGCGAGGCAGCAAUGCCGAGCGGCGAACGGGUGAGUAACGCGUAAGCAAUCUGCCCCAUAUCAGGAAAUACCCGUGCCAACGCGCGGUUAAUGUCCAGGAGAGUGGCUCCUCUGCAUGGAGGGUUGACUAGAGAUUUAUCGGUAUGGGAUGAGCUUGCGUCCGAUUAGCUAGUUGGCGGGGCAACGGCCCACCAAGGCGACGAUCGGUAGCCGGCCUGAGAGGGUGAUCGGCCACAUUGGGACUGAGAUACGGCCCAGACUCCUACGGGAGGCAGCAGUAGGGAAUAUUGCACAAUGGGGGAAACCCUGAUGCAGCAACGCCACGUGUGGGAAGAAAGCAUUUCGGUGUGUAAACCACUGUCAUGAGGGAAUAAGGCCUGUCUUCGGGCAGGAUUGAAUGUACCUUGAGAGGAAGCACCGGCAAACUUCGUGCCAGCCGCAGC